rnacentral:rRNA from 1 species
CUGUGAGCUCGAUGAGUAGGGCGGGACACGUGGUAUCCUGUCUGAAUAUGGGGGGACCAUCCUCCAAGGCUAAAUACUCCUGACUGACCGAUAGUGAACCAGUACCGUGAGGGAAAGGCGAAAAGAACCCCGGCGAGGGGAGUGAAAAAGAACCUGAAACCGUGUACGUACAAGCAGUGGGAGCACAGAGCAAUCUGUGUGACUGCGUACCUUUUGUAUAAUGGGUCAGCGACUUAUAUUCUGUAGCAAGGUUAACCGAAUAGGGGAGCCGAAGGGAAACCGAGUCUUAACUGGGCGUUAAGUUGCAGGGUAUAGACCCGAAACCCGGUGAUCUAGCCAUGGGCAGGUUGAAGGUUGGGUAACACUAACUGGAGGACCGAACCGACUAAUGUUGAAAAAUUAGCGGAUGACUUGUGGCUGGGGGUGAAAGGCCAAUCAAACCGGGAGAUAGCUGGUUCUCCCCGAAAGCUAUUUAGGUAGCGCCUCGUGAAUUCAUCUCCGGGGGUAGAGCACUGUUUCGGCAAGGGGGUCAUCCCGACUUACCAACCCGAUGCAAACUGCGAAUACCGGAGAAUGUUAUCACGGGAGACACACGGCGGGUGCUAACGUCCGUCGUGAAGAGGGAAACAACCCAGACCGCCAGCUAAGGUCCCAAAGUCAUGGUUAAGUGGGAAACGAUGUGGGAAGGCCCAGACAGCCAGGAUGUUGGCUUAGAAGCAGCCAUCAUUUAAAGAAAGCGUAAUAGCUCACUGGUCGAGUCGGCCUGCGCGGAAGAUGUAACGGGGCUAAACCAUGCACCGAAGCUGCGGCAGCGACGCUUAUGCGUUGUUGGGUAGGGGAGCGUUCUGUAAGCCUGCGAAGGUGUGCUGUGAGGCAUGCUGGAGGUAUCAGAAGUGCGAAUGCUGACAUAAGUAACGAUAAAGCGGGUGAAAAGCCCGCUCGCCGGAAGACCAAGGGUUCCUGUCCAACGUUAAUCGGGGCAGGGUGAGUCGACCCCUAAGGCGAGGCCGAAAGGCGUAGUCGAUGGGAAACAGGUUAAUAUUCCUGUACUUGGUGUUACUGCGAAGGGGGGGACGGAGAAGGCUAUGUUGGCCGGGCGACGGUUGUCCCGGUUUAAGCGUGUAGGCUGGUUUUCCAGGCAAAUCCGGAAAAUCAAGGCUGAGGCGUGAUGACGAGGCACUACGGUGCUGAAGCAACAAAUGCCCUGCUUCCAGGAAAAGCCUCUAAGCAUCAGGUAACAUCAAAUCGUACCCCAAACCGACACAGGUGGUCAGGUAGAGAAUACCAAGGCGCUUGAGAGAACUCGGGUGAAGGAACUAGGCAAAAUGGUGCCGUAACUUCGGGAGAAGGCACGCUGAUAUGUAGGUGAAGUCCCUCGCGGAUGGAGCUGAAAUCAGUCGAAGAUACCAGCUGGCUGCAACUGUUUAUUAAAAACACAGCACUGUGCAAACACGAAAGUGGACGUAUACGGUGUGACGCCUGCCCGGUGCCGGAAGGUUAAUUGAUGGGGUCAGCGCAAGCGAAGCUCUUGAUCGAAGCCCCGGUAAACGGCGGCCGUAACUAUAACGGUCCUAAGGUAGCGAAAUUCCUUGUCGGGUAAGUUCCGACCUGCACGAAUGGCGUAAUGAUGGCCAGGCUGUCUCCACCCGAGACUCAGUGAAAUUGAACUCGCUGUGAAGAUGCAGUGUACCCGCGGCAAGACGGAAAGACCCCGUGAACCUUUACUAUAGCUUGACACUGAACAUUGAGCCUUGAUGUGUAGGAUAGGUGGGAGGCUUUGAAGUGUGGACGCCAGUCUGCAUGGAGCCGACCUUGAAAUACCACCCUUUAAUGUUUGAUGUUCUAACGUUGACCCGUGAUCCGGGUUGCGGACAGUGUCUGGUGGGUAGUUUGACUGGGGCGGUCUCCUCCUAAAGAGUAACGGAGGAGCACGAAGGUUGGCUAAUCCUGGUCGGACAUCAGGAGGUUAGUGCAAUGGCAUAAGCCAGCUUGACUGCGAGCGUGACGGCGCGAGCAGGUGCGAAAGCAGGUCAUAGUGAUCCGGUGGUUCUGAAUGGAAGGGCCAUCGCUCAACGGAUAAAAGGUACUCCGGGGAUAACAGGCUGAUACCGCCCAAGAGUUCAUAUCGACGGCGGUGUUUGGCACCUCGAUGUCGGCUCAUCACAUCCUGGGGCUGAAGUAGGUCCCAAGGGUAUGGCUGUUCGCCAUUUAAAGUGGUACGCGAGCUGGGUUUAGAACGUCGUGAGACAGUUCGGUCCCUAUCUGCCGUGGGCGCUGGAGAACUGAGGGGGGCUGCUCCUAGUACGAGAGGACCGGAGUGGACGCAUCACUGGUGUUCGGGUUGUCAUGCCAAUGGCACUGCCCGGUAGCUAAAUGCGGAAGAGAUAAGUGCUGAAAGCAUCUAAGCACGAAACUUGCCCCGAGAUGAGUUCUCCCUGACUCCUUGAGAGUCCUGAAGGAACGUUGAAGACGACGACGUUGAUAGGCCGGGUGUGUAAGCGCAGCGAUGCGUUGAGCUAACCGGUACUAAUGAACCGUGAGGCUUAACCUU